rnacentral:rRNA from 1 species
UACGAAGGGGGCUAGCGUUGCUCGGAAUCACUGGGCGUAAAGCGCACGUAGGCGGACUCUUAAGUCGGUGGUGAAAUCCUGGAGCUCAACUCCAGAACUGCCUUCGAUACUGAGAGUCUCGAGUCCGAGAGAGGUGAGUUGAACUGCGAGUGUAGAGGUGAAAUUCGUAGAUAUUCGCAAGAACACCAGUGGCGAAGGCGGCUCACUGGCUCGGUACUGACGCUGAGGUGCGAAAGCGUGGGGAGCAAACAGG